AUGGCUCUUUGAUUUAGUCUAAUAAAGAGUCGGACCUGCCCAGUGAGGUACAACUUUAACGGCCGCGGUACCCUAACCGUGCAAAGGUAGCAUAAUCAUUUGCCCCGUAAUUGGGGGCUAGUAUGAAUGGUUUGACAAGAGCAUCUCUGUCUCUAUAAAAUUCUAUAAAAUUUAAUUUUCAGCUGAAGAAGCCUGAAUUUAAUUAAAAGACAAGAAGACCCUAUCGAGCUUUAAACAAAUUAAGGGAUUAUAAAUAUAUUUAUAUAGUUAUAACCUUUAAAAAUUUUGGUUGGGGCGACUAAGGAACAAACAAAGCUUCUUAUUAAUAAAAAGUAAGCAGACUAUGAUCCAAAAGUUUUGAUUAAAGGAAUUAGUUACCGUAGGGAUAACAGCAUAAUUUUUUUUAAGAGUUCUUAUCGAAAAAAAGGUUUGUGACCUCGAUGUUGGACCAGAAUAUCCUGAAGAUGUAGCCGUCUUCGAGGGUUGGUCUGUUCGACCAUUAAAAUUCUACGUGAUCUGAGUUCAGACCGGCGUAAGCCAGGUCAGUUUCUAUCUUUAAUUACUAAAUCCAAGUUUAGUACGAAAGGACCAACUUUAUUGUAUAUAAUAUUUUUUAUGGUUAAAUAUAAUUACCUAAUUAAAGUAUUCAAUUAAGUUAGCAAAAUAAUGCGGCUGGCUUAGGCUCAGCAGAUAAAGGCGGAAACCCUUUACUUAAUACUAUAAAGUAAAGUAAAAUUUACUUGAGAUAUACAAUAAAGAUGGCAGAUGAAGUGCA
rnacentral:rRNA from 1 species